rnacentral:lncRNA from 1 species
UACCAAGUGCAAUUAGACAUCGCGAAAGUAAUUUGUCCCCAAAAAGAAGGAAUAACUUAAAUAGACAUGGAUAACCAAAAAAACUUAAAUAGAUAUAUAUGUAACACGAAAACAAUAACAUUGGAAUAACUAGUUUAGCUAACUUUAGAACAUAUCAUACAUUAUAAAGAUGUCUUCUUUUUAUAAGGCCAUUACUACACUUACUACCAGAAACUCAAUCGCGGAGCUAACAAAACAUAGCGACGAAUCAAUCGGA